ACUUUCUUGUCGGAGUGCCUAGCGUAAGCUGUUUUAUCGCAGCAUACACAGGCUGAGACCGUUAAUUCGGGAUCCGCGGAACCUGAUCGGGUUAAUACCCGCGAAGGGAACAAGAGUAAUCAACCG
rnacentral:ncRNA from 22 species